GAGGCGAGGAGGUGCCUAAAUAAAGUGAUUAGAAUCUAAGCAUAUGGAUGAAAGUUCAAUUCUCAGAACAGAAAGGAAAAAUGUGGGCAUGGUGCUUAGUGUUUGUAAUCCAGCUUUGAAGAGGAAUAGACAAGUGUAUCCCUGGAAUUUUCUGGGAAGCUAUUUUAUUAUUAGAUAUUUUCUUUAUUUACAUUUCAAAUGUUAUCCCAUGUCCUAGUUUCCCCUCCAAAAAAUCCCCUCCCUAUGCUCCUCAACCACUCCCAUUACUGGUCCUGGCAUUUCCCUAUAUUGGGGCAUAGAGCCUUCACAGGACCAAGGGCCUCUCCUCCCAUUGAUGACCAACUAGGCCAUCCUCUGCUACAAAUAAAGCUAGAGCCACAUGCUGCGAUGAAGAAGACCCUAUCUCCAAAAACAAAGUGAAUGACACCUGAGGAAUGAUUCUCAAAUUUGCUCUCUGGUCUCUGCACACACGUGCACACACACAAAUGCAUGUGGAAAUACAUACACACAAAGAAAUCACUAAAGUUAUCCAAUUUUUUAAGUAUUUAAAAAUUACAAUUACAGUUUACAUAAAACCAAAGACAAAAACGAGUGGUGAAUAUUUAUAGCCAUUUAUUAAUAUGUAUCCACCAUUAAAUGAACUGGAAUUUCCUCAUGUCUGAAGAGGAUGUUUCAGUAGGACUAUUAACCCUUUCUUGGCAUCCUACAGCAUUGUAUUGCUCAUAUGAGUUCCAGGGAUAAAGUAAUGUCUGCAAAGCUUGCUUUUUUGUUUUUUGGUUGUUUUUUUUUCAUUUGUUUUUUGUUUGUUUGUUUUGUUUUGUGUUUUGAGACAGGGUCUCUCUGUUUUACCUGGCUGGCCUAGAACUCACUGUGUCAACCAAGCUAGCCUUAAAUUUGCAGAAAUAUACCUGCCUCUGCCUCUCACAUGCUAGAAUUAAAGGCAUAUGCCACCAUGCUCUUAUUACUAUUUUAUUAAUACAUUGAAUCAUUGAAUUCCUCACUUUAUGUGUGUGUGUGUGUGUGAGAGAGAGAAUGCAUAUGGGUUUAUUAUGUGUAUGUAAUAUUAAUAUGUGAAGGAACAUGUGUUACAGCCUGCAAAUGAAGGCGAAAGAUCAAACUCGGGUAUCGUCCUCAGCUGCCUCCCAUCAAUUUUCUUGAUAUAGGCUCUCUCAUUAGCCUGGACUUUUCAUUCAGCUAUACUCCCUGGCCUGUAAAUCCCAGGGAUCUCUGUCUUCCCAGUGAUGAGACAAUAAGUCGACAUGACCCUCCUCAUCUCCCUUUUGUUAUUAAUACGGUUUCUGGGAGCUGGACAUGGUAGCACAUGCCAUUAUGCCCAGCACUCUCGAGGCAGAGACAGAAGGAUCUCUGUGAGUGUGAGGCCAGCUUGCACUAUAUAAAAAAUCCCAGAACAUCUAGGACAUACAGAGAAACUGUCUCAAAAAUAAACAAAAUAAACAAGCAAACAAAAAAUAAGAUUUCUGAGAACCAAAUGUAGGUCUUUGUGCAUACAGGGCAGGAGUCUACAACUUGAGCUAGUAUACUUGUGCCCACAACUUUUAAAAAUAAUUGUCAGUAAGAUUAAUAACUUCCCCUUUAAUUACAAAUAUAUGGUAAUGCUAUCAGAAACUAGAAUAUGUAUUUAAAAGGACAGUAACUCAACUGUGACUCUAUCGACUGGGUAGAAGUCUUAUAAAUAUUUUGGUACCUACUUAUAUAUAAAUAUGUAUGCUAACAUACUUGGGAAACUAUUUUAUAUAUGAGGAUCUCCAUACUACAUAUUUGGUGACCCUAAAUCUAUAAAACUGCAUAUCAUGAUUUUUCAUAUGUAUUUCUUAAUUAAUAAUAACUAGAAACUUUGAAAAUAUUUCUUUUCUCUAUUUCUCCUCUUUUAUUUGGAAACAGAGUGUUCUGUUCUGUUCUGUAGACAAACCACCAAACCUUUUCUCGUUAUUAAAGGAAUAGAUGGUUUCCCAGGAUCUCACUCUUGCAGAGAUGCUGUAACUAUAUAGCUUCAUGGGUAACUCAGAAUCACUUUCUUGUCAUGUGUGAUUCUGAGGUUGUUUAUUAAUGAUUAUUCCAUUUUACAGGAUUAAUAUAUGUUUUCUUUAUUGCAAUAAUUUAGAGAGACUUUCUUAAAAAUGAAACCACUGGGGAGAUAUGUGUCCCCGGAGCUUCUCCAUUCCCGAUAAUAUCUCUGAGUGUGUAAUGCAUGCUUGUGCUCUGUAAAGCUGCGUAGCUCUGUAGACUUCCCUUUGCCUUUCUCUGAAUAUAUACCUCUAAGACUAAUCCCCAAAUUUCAGGCUCUUGGGCAGUACUCUUCUCUGUUGGGGAAGCCAUCUUCUGCAAGGUUCGGACAAAAAAGAAUUCACAGUGUUUUAAUCAACAAUGUGGACAUAUCAUCAUCUCUUCCUAUCCUGUUGGUUAAUUUACACAUUAUCUCUUCUAACUAUACCAUGCCCUGAACACAAACCUCCAGAAAGGUUCUUAAGAGCUAAAACUUAUGGCUUUCAGUGUUUUCAAAUCUAAAGAUGAAUGACAAUAACAGAAAUAAUAAUAGAAAUAGCUCACACAAAUUCCUUGACAGCAAGGAAUGGAACUUUCUGAAGAUUCAUUUUAGAGCAUUCCUUUCAUCUGCUUGGAUGAAGGUGGCAAACAAUCGCUUCAUAGCAAGAACUAUGAUUGUCGAUAUUUUUUGUUUCACUUUGUGGACUGGUGAUUGUAGAUUAAAAUUGGAAGUUGACAAAAUGUUGAGUAUUACUUUGUUCAAAUUUCACACAUGAGAUGUUAGGUGAGUGACCAACCAGUUUAUAAUUGGAUGUAAAGCCCACGCUCCAAAAUAGAACUCAUGCCUAACACUGACCUGUGGCUAGCUAGGUCAGAACUUCUAGGGGAUAACUCAAUACUGUUUGUUAUUCUGCUAAAUGGGCAUAGGAAUACAUGUCUCUAAGUUUUUAUCUUCAUAUCUAUGUACUAAUGCAUCUAGAAACUCUCACCAGAGAAGCUCUUUAUAUAAUGAAUGGUAAUUUAUGCAGAGACCCAUAAAUGUCCCAAGUGCAGAAAACAUAAUACUGUGGAGUGCUCAGUCCUAAAUGGGACAUCUAUAUCAGUCCCUUCUCCCAAGGAUUGGGCAUCAUCAUGCACUCUGGGAGAAGGGGGAGUAUAAGAGCCAGAAAUAUUGUACAUCUGCAUCGAAACAGUAAUUUCUAGGUUGGACAUAACAUUGCUGCUGCAUACCUAAAAUGACAGGGACUCUGACUGCAUGUAUAUGGACUGCAUAAGAUCAAGCUACCCAAAUCCCAGAAUGGGUAGGGAAGGGCUCAUCAAGUCCCACCUGUAGGUCAGAAGAAGUUGUUGACACUUGAUUGCUGCUGGGUGAGGUAUAAUAAGCUUUCUCCAAGGAUGUAGCCACUAAGAAACUAUCCAUGCUCUUGUAGAUCAGCCUGCACACUUGAACAUAUAGGCCACAUUAAGUAGACUCACUGGGUUACAAACAAACAAACAAACAAACAAACAAACAACACGUGAAGGAAUAAAUGACAUGAGAGAGAAAAGUUAUGGGUGGUAUACGGAGGGAAUUGGAGGGAUGGGAUGAGUUUUAUCAGAACAUUUUACAUGCAUGUAUGAUGUUCCCAAACAGUAAUUUAUUUGCAAACUACAAAUGAGAAAACUGAGUUGGAUUUAAAGCAGGGGACACUUUUUUGUGGUAAAUUUUGUAGGAUAGCUCAGAUUUAAACAUGGCAGCCACUAGGUUUGUAUACAUCUAUUUAAAUUAACCAUUUGAGUUAACUUUUGGUCAUCAUUAUACCCAUUGUAUUUUCACAUGGGCAGUGUCAGUUACCAUGUUCAAGGGUACAAAUAUUCUGUAUUUUUAUUACUGUAGUAAGUCCCAAUUGCACUAUUCUGCAGCAUGUCUUACUGAAAGCCUUGGCAGCACCGAACACCAUCAACACUUUCUGCAAUUCUAUACAAACUUUCUCAAAGAAACCCAUUUCUGCACUGAAAGCUGUACUCAGGUACAUUAAAACAUAUUAUAAUGUCAGUGUGUCUAAAUUACCCACACAGGAUUCAUAAUUACCAUGUUAGGUCUUUUAAUGCACAUGUCCCUUAAUUUUGCAUUUUUCUUAAACAUAUCCUACUGAAUCUGCACUUAACCAUAAAUAAUAGAAUAUGUAGCUCACACAUAUCAAUGACAAUCUCCCUUAGAAAUGUAAGAUUGCUUGCUUAAUACCAAGAAAUGCUUUGGAGAUCAUCAAAUCCCUUGACAGAUGCAUGCUGCCACAAGGAUUUAUUUUCUUCUGCUCAUAGCUAAAAUAGCAGCCAGUGCAUUUUGCCAUUUAGCAACAUUGGAGAAGAAGGUUAUAGCAAAGUGAUUUACAAAUAGUGAUUGCAUUUCCCAGCUUACCUAUUUCCAUAAAUAAGUCCAGAAAUGUCAUCUAGAUUUGAAUAUUAGGCCCAGCAAUAUCGAUAUUUGUCUCUACAGUAAUCAUACAAGAAUGUGUCAGACUUUGAUCUCACUAGAAAAUGACAGAAAUGAUCCCAUGGCCGGGCAAUCAUAUCUUUUGUUUACAUUUUAACUUUACCCAUUUGGCAGAAGAAGCACAUGUCUAAAGGCUAUGAUUUCAGUAGAAUUGAAUGCCCACCACCAUCUGCUUCAAUAGUGACUGAUUCCUGGAAUCCCAUUAUUAAACGUCAUUGUUCACUAAUCUCAGAGACACAUGGUUAAAC
rnacentral:lncRNA from 1 species